rnacentral:rRNA from 1 species
GACGAACGCUGGCGGCGUGCUUAACACAUGCAAGUCGAACGAAGUGGCGAACGGGUGAGUAACGCGUAAUCAACCUGCCCUUCAGACGGUCACAACAGUUGAAAACUACUGCUAAUACCGCAUACUGAAGGUGGGGAUUGCGUCUGAUUAGCUAGUUGGAGGGGUAACGGGCUACCAAGGCGAUGAUCAGUAGCCGGUCUGGGAGGGGGAACCGCCACAACGGGAAUGGGACACGGCCCAGACUCCUACGGGAGGCAGCAGUGGGGAAUCUUCCGGAAUGGAAGAAAGUCUGGCGAAGCAACGCCGCGUGAGUGAUGACGGCCUUCGGGUUGUAAAGCUCUGUUAAUCGGGACGCGGUACCGAAAUAGAAAGCCACGGCUAACUACGUGCCAGCCGCCGCGGUAAUUC